UGGACCGUGUAUAAGUCUCCUGGAAUGGAGCAUCAUAGAGGGUGAGAAUCCCGUCUUUGACAUGGACUACCAGGGCUUUGUGAUGUGCUCUCAAAGAGUCGAGUUGUUUGGGAAUGCAGCUCCAAAUGGGUGGUAAAUUCCAUCUAAAGCUAAAUAUUGGCGAGAGACCGAUAGCGAACAAGUACCGUGAGGGAAAGAUGAAAAGAACUUUGGAAAGAGAGUUAAAUAGUACGUGAAAUUGUUGAAAGGGAAACGCUUGAAGUCAGUCGCAUUGACUAGUGAUCAACCUUGCUUUUGCUUGGUGCAUUUUCUGGUUGAUGGGUCAGCAUCAAUUUUGAUCAGUAGAAAAAGACUGAGGGAAUGUGGCAUUUUCGAAUGUGUUAUAGCUUUCAGUCAUAUAUAUUGAUUGGGAUUGAGGAACUCAGCAUGCCGCAAGGCCGGAUAUUAAAUCACGUUCAUGCUUAGGAUGCUGGCAUAAUGGCUUUAAUCGACCCGUCUUGAAACACGGACCAAGGAGUCUAACAUACCUGCAAGUGUUUGAGUAGAAAACUCAAGCGCAUAAUGAAAGUGAAAGUUGGGAUCUCUGUCAUGGAGAGCACCGAUGCCUGGACCAGACCUAUUGUGACGGAUCCACGGUAGAGCAUGUAUGUUGGGACCCGAAAG
rnacentral:rRNA from 1 species